rnacentral:sRNA from 1 species
AUGACAUUGGAACCAUCAGUGAAAUAUCAGGUUAUGAUAAAAGUCAACCCGACGAACUCGUAUGCAUCCAUUGUGGAUUUUCAGCUGAGACACAGUUCAGAGGUCGAGACCGUGAUCCCAGGUCCCAAAGAAAGAGCCCCAAAAGAACAAAACCCAAGGCUGUGUAUUAGAUAUAGUACCUCUGCUCAAGGUGGAAAAAAGAAAAGAAGAUCAGAUGGACCCAGAUCUUCUGGUCAUUAA